rnacentral:rRNA from 1 species
GACGGAGGAUGCAAGCGUUAUCCGGAAUGAUUGGGCGUAAAGCGUCCGCAGGUGGCAGUUCAAGUCUGCUGUCAAAGACCGGGCUUAACUUCGGAAAGGCAGUGGAAACUGAACAGCUAGAGUAUGGUAGGGGCAGAGGGAAUUCCUGGUGUAGCGGUGAAAUGCGCAGAUAUCAGGAGGAACACCGGUGGCGAAGGCGGACUCUCGGCGGCUACUG